CCACAAUGCCUAAUCCUUCUCCUCCUUUCAGACAAAGAGUCAAUUUUGAUCAAGCUAGAGGGCCUUUAUUUUGUAGAUACUGCAAAAAAUCUGGGCACUUAAUUGAUAAGUGUUUCAAGAUUCAUGGGUAUUCACAAAGUACAACAUUUAACAAGGAAAGGAGAACCGCCGCUGCUCAUCUUACUGCUGGUGUGGAUUUCCCUCCUUCUGAAGGACAUAUGUCUGUUCCCCAAGGGAAUCCUCCUGACAGCCAUCAAUUCGUUACAAAAAUAGAUGGCCAGAGUUCUGUGAUACCAGGGUUGAGCAGACAACAGUAUGAUCAAUUGAUGAGCUUAUUACAACAGACCCAGUUAGAGGACUCCACUGCUCAGACUCCUCCUCCCAUGAAUGCUGCUAACUUUGUUGGUACUAUGCUAACUGAGAGCCCUAUUUCUGAUUCCAAACUCUGCAUGCUUACCCAUAUUAUUUCUGUCACCUGGAUCAUAGAUUCAGGUGCAUCUAAUCAUAUGACACAUGAUAAACAUUUACUCUCUAACAUCACAUUAAUUCUGUCACCUGGAUCAUAGAUUCAGGUGCAUCUAAUCAUAUGACAAAUGAUAAAUAUUUACUCUCUAACAUCACACCUUUAACUGUGCCCUAUCUUGUAGCUCUUCCUAAUGGCUAUAAAGUGAAAGUAACAUGCACAGGUUCUUUUGCACUAACUCCAUUCA
rnacentral:lncRNA from 1 species